GGGGAAUAUUGGACAAUGGGCGAAAGCCUGAUCCAGCAAUGCCGCGUGAGUGAUGAAGGCCUUAGGGUUGUAAAGCUCUUUUACCCGGGAUGAUAAUGACAGUACCGGGAGAAUAAGCUCCGGCUAACUCCGUGCCAGCAGCCGCGGUAAUACGGAGGGAGCUAGCGUUAUUCGGAAUUACUGGGCGUAAAGCGCACGUAGGCGGCUUUGUAAGUAAGAGGUGAAAGCCUGGUGCUCAACACCAGAACUGCCUUUUAGACUGCAUCGCUUGAAUCCAGGAGAGGUGAGUGGAAUUCCGAGUGUAGAGGUGAAAUUCGUAGAUAUUCGGAAGAACACCAGUGGCGAAGGCGGCUCACUGGACUGGUAUUGACGCUGAGGUGCGAAAGCGUGGGGAGCAAAC
rnacentral:rRNA from 1 species